rnacentral:rRNA from 1 species
UACGAAGGGGGCUAGCGUUGCUCGGAAUUACUGGGCGUAAAGCGUGCGUAGGUGGUGGUUUAAGUCCGUUGUGAAAGCCCUGGGCUCAACCUGGGAAUUGCAGUGGAUACUGGGUCACUAGAGUGUGGUAGAGGGUAGCGGAAUUCCCGGUGUAGCAGUGAAAUGCGUAGAGAUCGGGAGGAACAUCUGUGGCGAAGGCGGCUACCUGGACCAACACUGACACUGAGGCACGAAAGCGUGGGGAGCAAACAGG